rnacentral:rRNA from 1 species
CCAAUAGCGUAUAUUAAAGUUGUUGCAGUUAAAAAGCUCGUAGUUGAAUUUCGGGGUUCUACCGUUGGUCGGGCAAUAGUCUGUACUGGCGUGUAGAAUUUCUACCUUCUGGGGAACCAUCAUGUUAUUAAUUUAGCAUGGUGGGAAACCAGGACCUUUACCUUGAAAAAAUUAGAGUGUUCAAAGCAGGCUUACGUCUGAAUACAUUAGCAUGGAAUAAUAAAAUAGGACGGUGGUCCCGUUUUGUUGGUUUCUGAAUCACCGUAAUGAUUAAUAGGGAUAGUUGGGGGCAUUAGUAUUCAAUUGUCAGAGGUGAAAUUCUUGGAUUUAUUGAAGACUAACUUCUGCGAAAGCAUUUGCCAAGGAUGUUUUCAUUAAUCAAGAACGAAAGUUAGGGGAUCGAAGACGAUCAGAUACCGUCGUAGUCUUAACCAUAAACUAUGCCGACUAGGGAUCGGACGAUGUUAAUUUUUCUUGACUCGUUCGGCGCCUUACG